UACGUAGGGGGCUAGCGUUGUCCGGAAUCAUUGGGCGUAAAGCGCGUGUAGGCGGCCCGGUAAGUCCGCUGUGAAAGUCGGGGGCUCAACCCUCGGAAGCCGGUGGAUACUGUCGGGCUCGAGUACGGAAGAGGCGAGUGGAAUUCCUGGUGUAGCGGUGAAAUGCGCAGAUAUCAGGAAGAACACCCGUGGCGAAGGCGGUUCUCUGGGACGGUACUGACGCUGAGACGCGAAAGCGUGGGGAGCGAACAGG
rnacentral:rRNA from 1 species